rnacentral:rRNA from 1 species
UUGAACGCUGGCGGCAGGCCUAACACAUGCAAGUCGAACGGUAACAGGAAGCAGCUUGCUGUUUCGCUGACGAGUGGCGGACGGGUGAGUAAUGUCUGGGAAACUGCCUGAUGGAGGGGGAUAACUACUGGAAACGGUAGCUAAUACCGCAUAACGUCGCAAGACCAAAGAGGGGGACCUUCGGGCCUCUUGCCAUCGGAUGUGCCCAGAUGGGAUUAGCUAGUAGGUGGGGUAACGGCUCACCUAGGCGACGAUCCCUAGCUGGUCUGAGAGGAUGACCAGCCACACUGGAACUGAGACACGGUCCAGACUCCUACGGGAGGCAGCAGUGGGGAAUAUUGCACAAUGGGCGCAAGCCUGAUGCAGCCAUGCCGCGUGUAUGAAGAAGGCCUUCGGGUUGUAAAGUACUUUCAGCGGGGAGGAAGGGAGUAAAGUUAAUACCUUUGCUCAUUGACGUUACCCGCAGAAGAAGCACCGGCUAACUCCGUGCCAGCAGCCGCGGUAAUACGGAGGGUGCAAGCGUUAAUCGGAAUUACUGGGCGUAAAGCGCACGCAGGCGGUUUGUUAAGUCAGAUGUGAAAUCCCCGGGCUCAACCUGGGAACUGCAUCUGAUACUGGCAAGCUUGAGUCUCGUAGAGGGGGGUAGAAUUCCAGGUGUAGCGGUGAAAUGCGUAGAGAUCUGGAGGAAUACCGGUGGCGAAGGCGGCCCCCUGGACGAAGACUGACGCUCAGGUGCGAAAGCGUGGGGAGCAAACAGGAUUAGAUACCCUGGUAGUCCACGCCGUAAACGAUGUCGACUUGGAGGUUGUGCCCUUGAGGCGUGGCUUCCGGAGCUAACGCGUUAAGUCGACCGCCUGGGGAGUACGGCCGCAAGGUUAAAACUCAAAUGAAUUGACGGGGGCCCGCACAAGCGGUGGAGCAUGUUGUUUAAUUCGAUGCAACGCGAAGAACCUUACCUGGUCUUGACAUCCACGGAAGUUUUCAGAGAUGAGAAUGUGCCUUCGGGAACCGUGAGACAGGUGCUGCAUGGCUGUCGUCAGCUCGUGUUGUGAAAUGUUGGGUUAAGUCCCGCAACGAGCGCAACCCUUAUCCUUUGUUGCCAGCGGUCCGGCCGGGAACUCAAAGGAGACUGCCAGUGAUAAACUGGAGGAAGGUGAGGAUGACGUCAAGUCAUCAUGGCCCUUACGACCAGGGCUACACACGUGCUACAAUGGCGCAUACAAAGAGAAGCGACCUCGCGAGAGCAAGCGGACCUCAUAAAGUGCGUCGUAGUCCGGAUUGGAGUCUGCAACUCGACUCCAUGAAGUCGGAAUCGCUAGUAAUCGUGGAUCAGAAUGCCACGGUGAAUACGUUCCCGGGCCUUGUACACACCGCCCGUCACACCAUGGGAGUGGGUUGCAAAAGAAGUAGGUAGCUUAACCUUCGGGAGGGCGCUUACCACUUUGUGAUUCAUGACUGGGGUG